AUUGAACGCUGGCGGCAUGCUUUACACAUGCAAGUCGAACGGCAGCGCGGGCUUCGGCCUGGCGGCGAGUGGCGAACGGGUGAGUAAUGCAUCGGAACGUGCCCAGUAGUGGGGGAUAGCCCGGCGAAAGCCGGAUUAAUACCGCAUACGACCUGAGGGUGAAAGCGGGGGACCGAAAGGCCUCGCGCUAUUGGAGCGGCCGAUGUCGGAUUAGCUAGUUGGUGGGGUAAAGGCUUACCAAGGCGACGAUCCGUAGCUGGUCUGAGAGGACGACCAGCCACACUGGGACUGAGACACGGCCCAGACUCCUACGGGAGGCAGCAGUGGGGAAUUUUGGACAAAGGGGGCAACCCUGAUCCAGCUAUGCCGCGUGCGGGAAGAAGGCCUUCGGGUUGUAAACCGCUUUUGUUCGGGAAGAAAUCCUCUGGGCUAAUACCCCGGGGGGAUGACGGUACCGGAAGAAUAAGCACCGGCUAACUACGUG
rnacentral:rRNA from 1 species